GACGAACGCUGGCGGCGUGCUUAACACAUGCAAGUCGAACGGAAAGGCCCUGCUUUUGUGGGGUGCUCGAGUGGCGAACGGGUGAGUAACACGUGAGUAACCUGCCCUUGACUUUGGGAUAACUUCAGGAAACUGGGGCUAAUACCGGAUAGGAGCUCCUGCUGCAUGGUGGGGGUUGGAAAGUUUCGGCGGUUGGGGAUGGACUCGCGGCUUAUCAGCUUGUUGGUGGGGUAGUGGCUUACCAAGGCUUUGACGGGUAGCCGGCCUGAGAGGGUGACCGGCCACAUGGGGACUGAGAUACGGCCCAGACUCCUAGGGGAGGCAGCAGUGGGGAAUAUUGCAAAAUGGGCGGAAGCCUGAUGCAGCAACGCCGCGUGCGGGAUGACGGCCUUCGGGUUGAAAACCGCUUUCGCCUGUGACGAAGCGUGAGUGAGGGUAAGGGGUAAAGAAGCACCGGCUAACUACG
rnacentral:rRNA from 1 species